UACGUAGGGGGCAAGCGUUGUCCGGAAUCAUUGGGCGUAAAGCGCGUGUAGGCGGCCCGAUAAGUCCGCUGUGAAAGUCCAGGGCUCAACCCUGGAAUGCCGGUGGAUACUGUCGGGCUCGAGUCCGGAAGAGGCGAGUGGAAUUCCGUGGUGUAGCGGUGAAAUGCGCAGAUAUCAGGAGGAACACCGGUGGCGAAGGCGGCGACCUGGGUCGAGACUGACGCUGAGGCGCGAAAGCGUGGGGAGCAAACAGG
rnacentral:rRNA from 1 species